rnacentral:rRNA from 1 species
GGCAUGCAAGUCUGUUGAAAGACGGCGAACUGCUCAGUAACACGUAGCUAACCUACCCUAUGGUCGGGAAUACCCUCGGGAAACUGAGGCUAAAAACCGAUAGAAGAAAAUUUCUGGAAGGAGUUUUCUUUUAAAUUCGAGCCAUAGGAUGGGGCUGCGGCUGAUUAGGUCGUUGGCGGGGUAAUGGCCCACCAAGCCAAAGAUCAGUAAGGGCCUUUAGCGAGGGAGCCCUGAGAAGGAUUCUGAGACACUAAUCCUAGCCCCACGGGGUGCAGCAGUUGAGAAUCUUCUGCAAUGCUCGAAAGAGUGACAGAGCGAGCCAGAGUGUUUCUCGUAUUUUCGAGAAACUUUUGUCAACUGUAAAAAGGUUGACGAAUAAGGACCGGGUAAGACUGGUGCCAGCCGCCGCGGUAAUACCAGCGGUUCGAGUCGCAACCAUUAUUAUUGGGUCUAAAACAUCCGUAGCUUGUUUGUUAAGUUUCUUGUGAAAUUUCGUGUCUUAAGCACGAAGCGGGCAAGAAAUACUGGCAGGCUUGAGACCGGAAGACGUAAGGAGUACGACCAAGGUAGUGGUAAAAUACGUUGAUCUUGGUCGGACUAACAACAGCGAAGGCACCUUACGAGUACGGAUCUGACAGUGAGGGAUGAAGGCUAAGGUCGCGAAAGGGAUUAGAUACCCCUGUAGUCUUAGCAGUAAACACUGCACACUAAACAUCAGUACCUCCUCGAGAGGUAUUGGUGCUGUAGGGAAGCUGUAGAGUGUGCUACCUGGGAAGUAUAGUCGCAAGGCUGAAACUUAAAGGAAUUGGCGGGGGAGCACUACAACGGGUGACGCGUGCGGUUCAAUUAGAUUUUACACCGUGAACCUCACCAGGAGCGACAGCAGAAUGAAGGUCAGUCUGAAGGGCUUACCUGACACGCUGAGAGGAGGUGCAUGGCCGACGUCAGCCUGUGUCGUGAGAUGACCUGUUAAAUCAGGUAACAGGCGAGACCCGUGUGUAUAUUUGCCAUCUUCGGAGGCUCAAUAUAUAGACUGCCAUGGUAACAUGGAGGAAGGUGCGGGCUACGUUAGGUGAGUACGCCCCGAAUCCCCUGGGCGACACGCGCGCGGCAAUGCUGGAUUCAAUGAGAUGCAACUCCGAAAGGAGAAGCUAAUCCCAUAAACUCCAGCUCAGUUCAGAUUGAAGUUUGCAACUCAGCUUCAUGACGAUGGAAUCCGUAGUAAUCGUUUGUUAUCAGCGAACGGUGAAUAUGUCCCUGCUCCUUGCACACACCGCCCGUCAAACCAACCGAGUUUUGCAUUGGCGAGACUCUUCGGAGACGAACCUUUGUAAGACAAGGUAGGUUAAGUCGGCACAAGGUA